rnacentral:misc_RNA from 1 species
GAAACGCGACGGUGAGAGUGAUGAAUUUGAGGAUGAAGAUCUUGCAGACAUAAAUGAGAAAAAUAACUCUCAAUUUGUUGCCAACCACAUGGAUGUCAAAGAGGACGAAGGAUGGAUAACUAUUCCAAAGAAUAAACUUCCUGAAAACUGGAGUGAGGCACCAGAUAUCUCUUCCAUAUGCUCACUGGACCGCUUCUUUGUUAUACCUGGUGAACAGGUCCAUAUACUUGCAUGUCUCUCAGCCUGUAAGCAGGAUACAGAAAUUAUUACACCUUUUAAAGUUGCAGCCGUUAUGAAACAAAAUGGUAACA